rnacentral:rRNA from 1 species
AUUGAACGCUGGCGGCAGGCUUAACACAUGCAAGUCGAGCGGGGGAAGGUAGCUUGCUACCGGACCUAGCGGCGGACGGGUGAGUAAUGCUUAGGAAUCUGCCUAUUAGUGGGGGACAACAUCUCGAAAGGGAUGCUAAUACCGCAUACGUCCUACGGGAGAAAGCAGGGGAUCUUCGGACCUUGCGCUAAUAGAUGAGCCUAAGUAGGAUUAGCUAGUUGGUGGGGUAAAGGCCUACCAAGGCGACGAUCUGUAGCGGGCCUGAGAGGAUGAUCCGCCACACUGGGACUGAGACAUGGCCCAGACUCCUACGGGAGGCAGCAGUGGGGAAUAUUGGACAAUGGGGGGAACCCUGAUCCAGCCAUGCCGCGUGUGUGAAGAAGGCCUUAUGGUUGUAAAGCACUUUAAGCGAGGAGGGGGCUACUUUAGUUAAUACCUAGAGAUAGUGGACGUUACUCGCAGAAUAAGCACCGGCUAACUCUGUGCCAGCAGCCGCGGUAA